AUGAGAAACAUCAUGGAGAGAAGCCCCCACGAAUCCUCCUUCUCCUUCUCCCGGAGGCACUUCAAGUGGCCGGUUCUCGGCAAGAGCAGCAGCCAUGGCGCCACUAGCACCGCCGUCGCGGAGGAAGGUUUCGUCAAGAUCAGCUCGGGUAAGCAUGCCGAGGACGACGAAGAGGCGUCCUUGGCUUUCUCCUCCGCCUGCCGGUCCUUCCACUCGGAGGACUUCGUGUCUCCCCCGCCCAAGCCGCUCAAGCAGCACCGCAAGAAUACUAAGCCGGGCCGCACGGCCGUGUCGCGCCUGCGCACGGCGCUGGCAGCGGCAAUCUCCGGCCGGCACCGGCAGGUCAGCCUCGGCUCACGGCUCACCGGCACGCUGUACGGACACCGUCGCGGCCACGUCCACCUCGCGUUCCAGGUCGACCCGCGCGCGUGCCCGGCGCUGCUGCUGGAGCUGACCGCGCCCACGGCGUCGCUGGUUCGCGAGAUGGCCUCGGGCCUCGUGCGCAUCGCACUCGAGUGCGAGCGCUCCAAGGGCGCCUCCGCAUUCCCCGGCACCACCGGCGGCGCGGGCGUCGGCGCGGGCCGGAAGCUGCUGGAGGAGACAGUGUGGCGAGCCUACUGCAACGGCAAGGGAUGCGGGUACGCGGUGCGGCGCGAGUGCGGGGCCGCAGACUGGCGGGUGCUGCGCGCGCUGGAGCCCGUGUCCAUGGGGGCCGGGGUCAUACCGGCGUCCUGCGGUGGCGGCGAGGGCGACGUCAUGUACAUGCGCGCGCGGUUCGAGCGCGUGGUGGGCUCGCGCGACUCGGAGGCAUUCUACAUGAUCAACCCGGACAGCAGCAGCAAUGCCAACAGCGUCGGCCCCGAGCUUAGCGUCUACCUUCUUAGAGUUUGA
rnacentral:rRNA from 1 species